rnacentral:tRNA from 1 species
UAGCGCAAUGGGUAGCGCAUUGGAUUUCUAGGAGAAAAGAUGAAUUCAAAGGUUGUGGGUUCGACACCCAC